rnacentral:rRNA from 1 species
GAUGAACGCUGGCGGCGUGCCUAAUACAUGCAAGUCGAGCGAACGGACGAGAAGCUUGCUUCUCUGAUGUUAGCGGCGGACGGGUGAGUAACACGUGGAUAACCUACCUAUAAGACUGGGAUAACUUCGGGAAACCGUAGCUAAUACCGGAUAAUAUUUUGAACCGCAUGGUUCAAAAGUGAAAGACGGUCUUGCUGUCACUUAUAGAUGGAUCCGCGCUGCAUUAGCUAGUUGGUAAGGUAACGGCUUACCAAGGCAACGAUGCAUAGCCGACCUGAGAGGGUGAUCGGCCACCCUGGAACUGAGACACGGUCCAGACUCCUACGGGAGGCAGCAGUAGGGAAUCUUCCGCAAUGGGCGAAAGCCUGACGGAGCAACGCCGCGUGAGUGAUGACGGUCUUCGGAUCGUAAAACUCUGUUAUUAGGGAAGAACAUAUGUGUAAGUAACUGUGCACAUCUUGACGGUACCUAAUCAGAAAGCCACGGCUAACUACGUG